GUUUGGCCAGUUCUUACGCUGCCCUGCGUCAGUUAUCUGGAACCAUCUACGCUUCUAUAGAGAUAUACGUACCUAUUAUUCAUGUAAAAAUGUAUAAAAUUGUUUGUAGAACUCUCUGGAUUCUCCAACUCAACCCUCCCUCUUCAUCAUUGCCUUUGAUUUUUCCAUAGAACUAUCUAGAUUCUCUCUCUCUCUCUCUCUCUCUCUCUCUCUCGCUCUCCAUAAAAGCUCCUCCAUAGACAACCUCCUUCACACCUGCAAAUCUCACGCUAUCCCGUUUCUCUCAAGCUUUGUGAUCUCUGACUCUCUGCAAACCCAUUUCAGCGUUCUCUGAUACAUGGACGACGAUUUCGAAUUUCCAACUGCUGGGCAAAUGAACACCAACAAUGACGACAUGGAGAUGGACCUUCCUGAGGGGAACCCAGUUCACAAGGUUGGGGAAGAGAAGGAAAUUGGAAAGGAUGGGUUGAAGAAGAAGCUUCUCAAGGAAGGUGAAGGUAGGGACACGCCUACCAAAGGCGACGAGGUCGAAGUUCAUUACACUGGUAGUUUGCUUGAUGGCACCCAGUUCGAUUCGAGCCGCGAAAGGGGGACACCAUUCAAGUUCACUCUCGGCCAAGGACAAGUGAUAAAAGGAUGGGAUGAAGGUAUCAAAUCUAUGAAGAAAGGUGAACAAGCCAUCUUCACGAUACCUUAUACCUGUCUUGGGCACAAGAUAAUGUGUAAGGCCACAACAGAUGCAGCUGCUGGUGUAAGGGCACAACAGCAGCAUAGGUUCACAUGGGUGUUUAAGUAUGAAGCUCGGCUUGAGGAUGGAACACUUGUGUCAAAAUUUGAUAGGUGGAAUUCACUGUUGGAAAUGGGUAUUUCUGUCCUGCCUUGUCGAAAGCUGUGAAAACAAUGAAAAAGGGUGAAAAGGUCCAUCUGACAGUGAAGCCACAAUAUGCAUUUGGGGAGAAGGGCAGACCAGCAACUGGUGAGGAAUGUGCCGUGCCACCAAAUGCCACUCUUCAGAUAAAUCUUGAAUUGGUUUCAUGGAAAGUUGUUUCAGAAAUUACCAAUGAUAAGAAGGUUUUAAAGAAAAUAUUGAAGGAAGGAGAGGGAUAUGAGCGUCCAAAUGAUGGAGCAGUUGUUCAAGUAAAACUGAUUGGGAAGCUGCAAGACGGGACUGUCUUUCUGAAGAAGGGACAUGAUGAGGAGCCAUUUGAAUUCAAAAUAGAUGAAGAACAAGUUAUUGAUGGACUUGAUAAAUCUGUCAAAACAAUGAAGAAGGGAGAGAUUGCGCUUGUAACAAUUCAUCCAGAUUAUGCUUUUGGUUCAUCCGCAUCACACCAUGAAUUAGCUGUUACACCUGCCAAUUCCACUGUGCAUUACGAGAUUGAGAUGGUCUCCUUUGUGAAGGAAAAAGAAUCUUGGGAAAUGAGUACACAGGAGAAGGUUGAAGCUGCUGGAAAGAAGAAAGAAGAAGGGAAUGCAUUGUUCAAGGCUGGCAAAUACGAGAGAGCCUCUAAGAGAUAUGAAAAGGCUGUGAAAUUCGUUGAAUAUGACUCCACAUAUAGUGAUGAGGAGAAGCAACAGGCAAAGGUGCUCAAAGUUACUUGCAAUUUGAACAAUGCCGCUUGCAAGUUGAAACUAAAAGACUACAAGCAAGCGGAGAAGCUCUGCACUAAGGUCUUGAAAAUUGACGGUAGGAAUGUGAAAGCACUUUACAGGAGGGCACAGGCAUACAUCCAACUUGUUGAUUUGGAUUUGGCAGAAAUAGAUAUAAAGAAAGCACUUGAAAUUGACCCUGAUAACAGGGAUGUGAAACUUGAGUACAAGAUUUUGAAGGAGAAAGUAAAGGAGUACAACAAGAAGGAUGCCCAAUUCUAUGGCAACAUGUUUGCAAAGACGAACAAACUAGAGCAAAUUAAAACAACUAAUGCAGCAGCAAAGGAGGAAGCAGUGCCCAUGACCAUAGAUAGCAAGGCAUAAUAAUGAUGUAGCGGGUGUCUAGUUAAAGUGUCCUAAAAUGGUUGCUCUCUCUCAUAUGUGGUGAAAAUAUAGAAGUGAAGUGUGUGUGUGGAAAGUAUAGAGUAGUCGCUUGAUUUCUACUAUGUAGAAGUAUGGUUGUGUGUCAAAUUUCUUUAGGAUACUAAUUGCUUUGAGCUGGUCCAUCAAUUACUGGGUCAUGAUGAAAUCUGUUAUAAAAUAACUGACUUGAGUCAAAUUUAAAGGUGGGAUGUAUGUACACUUUUUACUAUCUAUGAAUUUGAUUCGAUUUAAGUUAAUA